rnacentral:miRNA from 1 species
AUUUAGCCAGCUGAGUGGGGAGGAGAGAGGGACAGAGAGCCUGCUUGCUUUAAAGGAGCCAACCGGACAGGAGCCGCUUACACUCGUGUAAGCGGCUCAUCUCCUCUCCCGCUUUGCUCCUUUAAAGCAAGCAGGCUCUCUGUCCCUCUCUCCUCCCCACUCAGCGGCUCUUCUC